GACGAACGCUGGCGGCGUGCUUAACACAUGCAAGUCGAACGGAAAGGCCUCUUUCGGGGGGUACUCGAGUGGCGAACGGGUGAGUAACACGUGAGUAACCUGCCCUUGACUUUGGGAUAACUUCAGGAAACUGGGGCUAAUACCGGAUAGGAGCUCCUGCUGCAUGGUGGGGGUUGGAAAGUUUCGGCGGUUGGGGAUGGACUCGCGGCUUAUCAGCGUGUUGGUGGGGUAGUGGCUUACCAAGGCUUUGACGGGUAGCCGGCCUGGGAGGGUGACCGGCCACAUUGGGACUGAGAUACGGCCCAGACUCCUACGGGAGGCAGCAGUGGGGAAUCUUGCACAAUGGGUGGAAGCCUGAUGCAGCAACGCCGUGUGCGGGAUGACGGCCUUCGGGUUGUAAACCGCUUUCGCUCAUGACGAAGCUUUGUGUGACGGUAGUGGGUAAAGAAGCACCGGCUAACUACGUG
rnacentral:rRNA from 1 species